GAUGAACGCUAGCGGCAGGCUUAAUACAUGCAAGUCGAGGGGCAGCAGGACUGUAGCAAUCCAGUUGCUGGCGACCGGCAAACGGGUGCGGAACACGUACGCAACCUACCCAAAACUGGGGGAUAGCCCGGGGAAACCCGGAUUAAUACCUCGUAACCUUUUUAAGUGGCAUCACUUGAUAAGUAUAGCUCCGGCGGUUUUGGAUGGGCGUGCGCCUGAUUAGGUAGUUGGUGCGGGUAACGGCCAACCAAGCCUGCGAUCAUUAACUGGUGUGAGAGCACGACCAGCUAGACGGGAACCGAGGCCCGGACCCGACUGGUACGGGACGGAGCAGUAAGGAAGAUUGGUCAAUGGACGCAAGUCUGACCCAGCCAUGCCGGGUGAAGGAUGAAGGUCCUCGGGAUUGUAAACCUCUUUUAUGGGGGACGAAACCCGGAUAUUCUUAUCCGAUUGACGGUACCUCAGGAAUAAGCACCGGCUAACUCCGUG
rnacentral:rRNA from 1 species